GUGCCAGCCGCCGCGGUAAUACGUAGGGGGCGAGCGUUGUCCAGAAUUACUGGGUGUAAAGGGCGUGUAGGCGGGGGUGCAAGUUACGGGUAAAAACCCAGGGCUCAACUCUGGGCUUGCCUGUAAAACUGCAUCUCUUGAGUGCAGGAGAGGGAAGUGGAGUUCCCGGAGUAGCGGUGAAAUGCGUAGAUACCGGGAGGAACACCAGUGGCGAAGGCGGCUUCCUGGCCUGUAACUGACGCUGAUGCGCGAAAGCUAGGGGAGCGAACGGGAUUAGAUACCCCGGUAGUCCUAGCCGUAAACGAUGGUCACUAGGUGUGGGUGGUGGUCAAGCCAUCCGUGCCGGAGCUAACGCAAUAAGUGACCCACCUGGGGAGUACGGCCGCAAGGUUGAAACUUAAAUGAAUUGACGG
rnacentral:rRNA from 1 species